UACGGGGGGGGCAAGCGUUGUUCGGAAUUACUGGGCGUAAAGGGCUCGUAGGCGGCCAACUAAGUCGGAUGUGAAAUCCCCAGGCUUAACUUGGGAACUGCAUCCGAUACUGGAUGGCUUGAAUCCGGGAGAGGGAUGCGGAAUUCCCGGUGUAGCGGUGAAAUGCGCAGAUAUCGGGAGGAACACCAAUGGCGAAGGCAGCUCGCUGGGACGUUACUGACGCUGAGACGCGAAAGCGUGGGGAGCAAACAGG
rnacentral:rRNA from 1 species